GACGUAGGGCGCGAGCGUUGUCCGGAUUUAUUGGGCGUAAAGAGCUCGUAGGCGGCUUGUUGCGUCGACUGUGAAAACCCGCGGCUUAACUGCGGGCUUGCAGUUGAUACGGGCAGGCUAGAGUUCGGUAGGGGAGACUGGAAUUCCUGGUGUAGCGGUGAAAUGCGUAGAUAUCAGGAGGAACACCGGUGGCGAAGGCGCCUAUCUGGCCCGAUACUGACGCUGAGGCGCGAAAGCUAGGGGAGCAAACGGG
rnacentral:rRNA from 1 species